AUUGAACGCUGGCGGCAGGCCUAACACAUGCAAGUCGAACGAGUGGCGGACGGGUGAGUAAUGUCUGGGAAACUGCCCGAUGGAGGGGGAUAACUACUGGAAACGGUAGCUAAUACCGCAUACCAUCGGAUGUGCCCAGAUGGGAUUAGCUAGUAGGUGGGGUAACGCCUCACCUAGGCGCCGAUCCCUAGCUGGUCUGAGAGGAUGACCCGCAACAGUGGAACUGAGACACGGUCCAGACUCCUACGGGGGGUAGAGUGGGGGAUGAUUGAACAAGGGGCGCAAGCUGGAUGCAGUCAUGCCUGGGGUAUGAAGAAGGCCUUUGGGUUGUCAAGUUCUUUAAGCGAGGAGACUUUACUUGCUGAAGAAGCUCCGGCUAACUCCGUGCCAGCCGCCGUGGUAAUG
rnacentral:rRNA from 1 species